rnacentral:tRNA from 1 species
GGGGGUGUAGCUCAGUGGUAGAGCACUGACUCAGCAUAUACAAAGCCUUGGGUUCAAUACCCAGUACUGUCU